rnacentral:rRNA from 1 species
CCGCGUGAGUGAAGAAGGGUUUCGGCUCGUAAAGUCUGUUGUUAAAGAAGAACGUGGGGAGUAACUGUUCACCCAGUGACGGUAUUUAACCAGAAAGCCACGGCUAACUACGUGCCAGCAGCCGCGGUAAUACGUAGGUGGCAAGCGUUAUCCGGAUUUAUUGGGCGUAAAGCGAGCGCAGGCGGUCUUUUAAGUCUAAUGUGAAAGCCUUCGGCUCAACCGAAGAAGUGCAUUGGAAACUGGGAGACUUGAGUGCAGAAGAGGACAGUGGAACUCCAUGUGUAGCGGUGAAAUGCGUAGAUAUAUGGAAGAACACCAGUGGCGAAGGCGGCUGUCUGGUCUGAACUGACGCUGAGGCUCGAAAGCAUGGGUAGCGAACAGGAUUAGAUACCCUGGUAGUCCAUGCCGUAAACGAUGAUUACUAAGUGUUGGAGGGUUUCCGCCCUUCAGUGCUGCAGCUAACGCAUUAAGUAAUCCGCCUGGGGAGUACGACCGCAAGGUUGAAACUCAAAAGAAUUGACGGGGGCCCGCACAAGCGGUGGAGCAUGUGGUUUAAUUCGAAGCUACGCGAAGAACCUUACCAGGUCUUGACAUCUUCUGCACUAAGAGAUUAGGUUCCCUUCGGGGACAGAAUGACAGGUGGUGCAUGGUUGUCGUCAGCUCGUGUCGUGAGAUGUUGGGUUAAGUCCCGCAACGAGCGCAACCCUUAUUACUAGUUGCCAGCAUUCAGUUGGGCACUCUAGUGAGACUGCCGGUGACAAACCGGAGGAAGGUGGGGACGACGUCAAAUCAUCAUGCCCCUUAUGACCUGGGCUACACACGUGCUACAAUGGAUGGUACAACGAGUCGCGAACCGCGAGGUUUAGCUAAUCUCUUAAAACCAUUCUCAGUUCGGACUGUAGGCUGCAACUCGCCUACACGAAGUCGGAAUCGCUAGUAAUCGCGGAUCAGCAUGCCGCGGUGAAUACGUUCCCGGGCCUUGUACACACCGCCCGUCACACCAUGAGAGUUUGUAACACCCAAAGCCGGUGGGGUAACCUUUUAGGAGCUAGCCGUCUAAGGUGGACAGAGA